GGGUAAAUACGAGGGUUAAAACUUGGUAACCUGUUAUGUCGAGAGAAAAGGUAUUUCUGAUGUGCUAAACAAACCUUUGGAGGUUAAUUAGCAGCAUGACUAAUUUAGCCGUUGCUGUCAGUCACCUUCAGACAAAC
rnacentral:snoRNA from 1 species